rnacentral:lncRNA from 1 species
AACAAAACUCUCUGCAAGUAGCAGAUAAGCUCGAUCGACGACAUUUUAGAUGUCUUAAUUUCUCUCAAUGCCUUAACAUGGGUGACUUCCUAUGAAACUAUUUGGAUCAAGGCUAGAGUAGGCCAGACUUACAUUACGAUCUUAAUUGAUUCUGGAACCACACAUAAUUUCAUGGAUGUGGAUACCAUACGGAAUUUGGGACAUGCCUUGAUUGAAGCUUCACGUUUGUUGGUUAAUGUUGCCAAUGGACAGAAGAUUCUUAAUAAUGAAAUUUGUCCUGCUUUUGAAGCUUCCAUCGUUAUAUCUUCCUUGUGGCUUUCUUUCAACGUGAAUGAUUAUGAAGCUGCCCUGGUAGUCUCCAAAACCAGACGUUGCUCUAGAAACAUUGACCAACUGCCAAUGAAUAAAUUACAAUGAUUUCAGUCAAGCAUAAUUUGGGUUAGCAAACCAGAGAUGCUCAAAUUAGAGAGGCUUGGUCUAGUUAAAAUUGUUAUGAGAUAAUUUCUUGUUGACAACUCACCAUACCAACACUACACCUUGCAUGCAGUUGAGUUGAUUUCUAGGGUUUAAAGCUACAUAUUGUAAGGACAUUUGAUCCUGAUGUGUGGAACAGUAAUAUCUUCUCGGCUGACUGGUGUGGGAGAGCAUAUACUUGAACCUGUGCAAACAGUUCAGAGUAUAAGUGAAAAGUUUCUGAAGGCUAUGAGAAGGAAGUCCAACUUAUAAAAUCGAUGUGGGGCGUUUGAACAAGGCUUCUCAAGAAAUCACAGAUUGAAGUUCAAAAUCGUGGUUUUGAACCAACACUUGGCUGACUGAGAAAGAACUCCAGACGAUGAAGAUCUAUCUGGCGGAUGAAGAAGCUGAUAACAAGGUCUUGAAGGA